GAUGAACGCUAGCGAUAGGCUUAACACAUGCAAGUCGAGGGGCAGCGAGGGUAGCAAUACCUGUCGGCGACCGGCGCACGGGUGAGUAACGCGUAUGUAACCUGCCCGCAACAGGGGGAUAACCCGGCGAAAGUCGGACUAAUACCGCAUAAAACAGGGGUCCCGCAUGGGAAUAUUUGUUAAAGAUUUAUCGGUUGCGGAUGGGCAUGCGUACCAUUAGGUAGUUGGUGAGGUAACGGCUCACCAAGCCCUCGAUGGUUAGGGGUUCUGAGAGGAAGGUCCCCCACACUGGUACUGAGACACGGACCAGACUCCUACGGGAGGCAGCAGUGAGGAAUAUUGGUCAAUGGGCGAGAGCCUGAACCAGCCAAGUCGCGUGAAGGAUGACUGCCCUAUGGGUUGUAAACUUCUUUUACAAGGGAAUAAAAUGAGAUACGUGUAUUUUAUUGCAUUACCCUUGGAAUAAGCUCGUAUCC
rnacentral:rRNA from 1 species